rnacentral:rRNA from 1 species
GGGCACUCUAGCGAGACUGCCGGUAAUAAACCGGAGGAAGUGGGAUGACGUCAAAUCAUCAUGCCCCUUAUGACCUGGGCUACACACGUGCUACAAUGGUUGGUACAACGAGUUGCGAGUCGGUGACGGCGAGCUAAUCUCUUAAAGCCAAUCUCAGUUCGGAUUGUAGGCUGCAACUCGCCUACAUGAAGUCGGAAUCGCUAGUAAUCGCGGAUCAGCACGCCGCGGUGAAUACGUUCCCGGGCCUU